AUGGACCACCGGGUGAGAUGGACCGGUGGCAUAGUUCACGAACCUGCUAAUAGAAAGCGCCAUGGUUGGUAGGAAUGUGUCGUGGCAACUGUAUUGCGCUUGCUGUGUUAUUUUAUUAUUUUAGUUCCUUUGUAUGAGUAAAUUGAGAAUAUAUUAAAGAAAAUAGAAAACAGGUCUGGGACAUGGCAAGGAUCACCAUGUGUGCCGGAAGAACGCGGGGGACACGGGGCGCGAAUCACCCCCCUGAUCUCCUGCGUGCAGGCCGACAGCAGCGACAAGGUCUUCACCACCUCCUUGUUCUCCAUGACGAGGCUGUAGAAGUUGCGCUGCUGGGCCAGCACAGACUAUCUCGGGUGUACCCUGAGGUCUGGGACGCAACAUAUAGCCGGUGGAACGCGGGGGACACAGGGCGCGAAUCACCCCCCUAAUCUCCUGUGUGCAGGCCGACAGCAGCGACAAGGUCUUCACCACCUCCUUGUUAUCCAUGACGAGGCUGUAGAAGUUGCGCUGCUGGGCCAGCACAGACUAUCUCGGGUGUACCCUGAGGUCUGGGACGCAACAUAUAGCCGGUGGAACGCGGGGGACACGGGGCGCGAAUCACCCCCCUAAUCUCCUGUGUGCAGGCCGACAGCAGCGACAAGGUCUUCACCACCACCUUGUUAUCCACAACGAGGCUGUAGAAGUUGAGCUGCUGGGCCAGCACAAACUAUCUCGGGUGUCGCCUGAGGUCUGGGACGCGGCAUAUAGCCGGUGGAACGCGGGGGACACUGGGCGCGACUCACCCCCCUGAUCUCCUGCGUGCAGGCCGACAGCAGCGACAAGGUCUUCACCACCUCCUUGUUAUCCACAACGAGGCUGUAGAAGUUGCGCUGCUGGGCCAGCACAAACUAUCUCGGGUGUCGCCUGAGGUCUGGGACGCGGCAUAUAGCCGGUGGAACGCGGGGGACACUGGGCGCGACUCACCCCCCUGAUCUCCUGCGUGCAGGCCGACAGCAGCGACAAGGUCUUCACCACCUCCUUGUUCUCCAUGACGAGGCUGUAGAAGUUGCGCUGCUGCGCCGGGAAGCUGGGCCGGUGCUCGGACUGCAGGCGGUAGAGGCGCCGCCGGCGCGAGCGGGCGUCCUCGGGCCCCUUGGUCGCGCCCUGCUCCAGCCGGGAAACCACGUCAACCAGCGCGUGCGACUGGCGGCCGGCGAGGCGCUUCCAGCCCGGCGGCCUCUGCUCGCCGCGCGCGGGGUUCGGCGGUGGACGGCGGUGGGGUGUUCAGGUCGUUGAAGGAUGUGGUGACAACACACAUGUGGAGGCGGUGGCGAACACGCACAAAGGAGGGUACAAGGUCACACCGAGCACCAUUUCGUCGGUGGGUGUUGGAGAGUCACAGUAAAGACAGCACACAGACAUGCAGAGACACAGAAAGAGGGAUCAGGGUAGAGAGAAAGAAAGAGAAAAAGAGAGAAAAAAAUACGUCAGAAUAGCCGCGUGGAAGAACGUGUGUACGUAUUUACAUGAAAGCACAGCAAAAUUGCACUGAGAAAAAAUGUUGGUUGAGUCCACCUAAUAUAUCAGUGUAUAUUAUUAAAUUAAUAUAGUUUCUCUAACUGAUAUUUUGUCGGCUAAACUAAAGUAAUGUGCAAAAAAUUUAAUUUUUUGACCAAGCAAAAGUAUUUUUUUAAAAAUAAUAUAUGAGUGUGUAUCAAUAAGCAAUGCUUAUGAUUUUUUAAAAAAUAAAAAGCAAUUAAUGACAAAAUAAAAUAGAAAUGAAAGUAUUACUCAUUAAUUACUUGUCAUCGUAAAUUCCAUGCAUGUUGAGGCAUUGGUUCCCAUGAUGGAUUAGUAUGAAAAGUCUGGUCUCGUAGAAAUCCAUUGGCCGCAUGAAUUGCUCCAUUCGCAGGGCCUGUUUGAGUUCGUCCUCAGAGUCAAACUUCUUACUGCUGCGGAUUUUCUUCAUGGGUCCAAACAGAGAGAAAGCGGAGGAUGCCAUUUUUGGCUGUAGGGUAGAGGGUCCAAAAUUUAUCAAUUGUAUCACUGCGAUUUUCUACAAACUGGGCGAUACACAUUGGUAUGGUCAAUAUAGUAUUUUGCGUAAACUUUCACCAUCUCCGAAUGGAUAUCUAACUUUAUUUUCUGUUGCACAAAGAAAUAUUACCACAGCUCAUUGCUCCUCCACAGUUGAAGAUGUAAUCAACCAACGCCAUUUUCCGGUGACUACGAUUGCUAUCGGUAGGUAUAUAGAAUCACAGUACCUUGCAUUCCACAGUCAGUAGCGCCUUCGUGUUCUUUUUUUUAGUAAUUAAUUCCAUUUUCACUCAUAAUUUUCCUAAUCAAAAAUUGACAUGUGUGUUACUUAUUGAUACACUCUCGUAUUUAUCUUAAUUAAUUUUCUAUACAUAUUUUAUUGGUCAUGUACAAACAUUUUAUGUGAAUAGAACAAACACUGAGUUUGGUGUAUGUACAUAUAUUCAAUACACUCUAAGUGCAGUUACUGCCAAAAUUGCUAAUGUAAUACACAAGUUUUACAUAUUUACAAUAUUUGAUUCUUAUUAAAGUGGUAUGCACAGUUAUACUAUAAAUAUUACUCUAAGCAAAAUUCAAAAACCAAUUACAGUAAGUCCUCUAUUUACGUCGUACCGAUUUACGUCGUUUCGGAUUAACGUCGCUAAUGUUUGAGUACUCAUGUUUCAAUUUAAAUUGUCGCCGAUUCACAAUAACGUCGUUUACAAUGACCGCAAAUAUUUAUUUUAACCAAAACACCGUAUAUAAUUCAUUUAUAAUUCUUUGUUUCCUUCGGUAGUUAAUUUAUGCUAUGUAGUGUAAGCUACACAUUCACCGCCUUAUCUUAUCAUACAUCAUGAGGGACGCUUCCUGCUCUCCGCUGCUCUCCGCGUGGUGAUGCAAUACUACCAGCCCGACCACUCGGCCACCCACGUAUCUCGCACGUAGAAGUGUUAUCUACUUCCUGCAACGACACAGCAUUUUCUCCUACCCCUUUUCGUCCAACUCCUUGGCACUUCAGUCGCUAUGAUAUCAUUGAGUUGGCCGGAGUUUUAAACGUGCCGUUGUUAACUUUAUCGUGAUUAAAUGCGUUUUUAGUAGGUCUACAGUAUCAGCUCACUGCAAUUUAUGAUUUUUUCUUCAUAAUAUGUCUUCCAAACGACUAAAUUUAUCUUCAAAUGUAAUUUCAAAAAUAAGAACAGAACACAUGUUUCAUUAGCCACGAAAAUGGAAGUUUUGAGACGUUUCGAUUCGGGCGAGAGGGCUGUUGAGAUUAGUAAAGUGUUAGGUCUGCCACCUACCACAGUUCGUACAAUUCGAUCAAAUGCGGACAAAAUUAAGAGUAGUUUACUGAACAUGUCAUCUGUCAGUGCUACAAAGACGAGUUAUACACGUAAUAGCACUAUGGAGAAAAUGGAGAAGAUGCUUGCUGUAUGGAUUGAAACACAGAACCAGCACAAUUGCUCCGUAAAUUUAAGGCUUAUUCAAAGCAAAGCUCUAUCAUUGUACAAUGAGGAAAUGAAAAAUGUUGAAGGUACUUCAACCGUUAAAGAGGAAGUGUUUAAUGCCAGCCGCGGGUGGUUUCAGCGAUUUAAAGCCAGGUACAGUUUCCAUAAUAUAAAACUGACAGGCGAGGCAGCAAGUUCCGACACUGACGCCGCAAAGGAAUUCAUCCCGAAACUUGAGAAGAUCAUUGAAGAAGGUGGCUACAUGCCGAAACAAGUUUUCAAUGCAGAUGAAACGGGACUUUUCUGGAAAAGAAUGCCGGCGAGAACCGACAUCGCUAAACAAGAGAGGACUGCGCCUGGUUUCAAGGCUGCAAAGGAUCGUGUGACAGUAUUGUUGGCGGCAAAUGCAGCUGGCGACUGUAAAAUGAAACCGCUGCUGAUAACCAAGUCAGCCAACCCACGAGCCUUGAAAGGUUACUCAAAGGAGCACCUGCCAGUGAUUUUAAGAGCAAAUAAUAAGGCCUGGAUAACUGGCCCCCUGUUUAGGGAAUGGCUUAACUUGUAUGCCAUCCUUGCAUGGAAAGGAGAACCUUGACUUUAAAAUUCUCCUUCUGAUCGACAACUCACCUAGUCACCCACCCGAGGUAAUAGAAAUGCAUGAAAAUUUGAAAGUGGUUUUUCUUCCUCCAAACACCACAGCUAUCUUGCAACCACUAGACCAAGGCGUCAUCGCAUCGUUCAAGGCCUAUUAUAUGCGGUGUACAUUUCAACAGCUGCUUGAAGGUACAGAUGGUGAGGAUAAGCCUACAAUCAAGGAGUACUGGCGUGGCUACAACAUUUUGCAUGCUAUCAAGAAUAUUGGAGAAGCAUGGACUGAGGUCACUGAAAAGUGCUUGAACUCGACGUGGGGUCAACUGUGGCCUGAUUGCCUACAUAAUUUUAAGGGAUUUGAAGAUGCCUCUCCUGCUGUAGACGUACGCUCGGACAUCGUUGACAUCGCUAAAAGAACUAGAUUCAACGAUCUCGAAACUGACGACAUUGACGAAGUCUUGGAUGCUAAUGUAGAAGAGCUUACAAACGAAGAGCUACACCAGCUGGUAAUUAAUCCUGCAGCAGACAACACUGAUAGUGAAGAUGAUGACCCGGAAGUGAAAACAGACAUCACAGUGAAAGAACUAACCUCUGCCUUAGGCCAUGUCAAAAUGGCAUUGCAAAUUUUUUCUGAAAAAGACAUAAAUGAGGAACGGAGCUCUAAAGUGCGGCGAAACGUAAUGGAGAGUGUUAUGUGCUACGAGGAGCUCCUCAAGGAGAAAAAGAAGCAGACAACCAAGCAGACAACACUUCAUGCUUUCUUCGGCGGAACAUCAAAGGCGGCGACAGCUUCCAUGUGUGUAGGAAAGGAAUCGGAAAAUGUUCAAAGUGACUCGGAAUAAAUUGACAAACUUGUCACGUCAUCCUUUUUGGAAUUCUAUUCACAAUGUGUAGUGUAUUCAGAGCUUUUUCAUUUAAAAUGUUACAUAAAAUGAUAUAAUUUAUAUUGUUUGCGACGUAAAUUUAAAGUAGUGUUUCUCAUGAAAAAUAUUUCACAUUGAUUUUUAUUAGAAUUAUUUCCGUACGUAAAUUGUAAGAAUUGAGCCGCGCUAUUUUAUAACCUCUUUUAGGUGUUUAUUACUUCAUGUGAUUAUUUUAAAUCAAGGGCUCUCAAUUUUUGUCAUACUUAUAGUACUUUUAUUGUAUGUAUGCAUUUCUUUUGACUUUGUUCUUACCAGCCUCCAAAAGAAAACAGUUGUUUUCUCCCGCGAAUGACUCAAAGUAAAAUCUGUGUAGCACUAAACCACUUUGUAUCCUUACACUUUGAAUGCAUUAUGCGUUUAUAUUACGUACAGUAGGGCCUAUGUACUAUAUAUCUGUUUUUAUAUUUCAAUCAAUAAAGGUAAUAAAGCAGCUGGUUAUAUAACCAUUCUAUAAAGCUGAGAAGUACUAGUUGGACUUGUGUCCCACGCUGUCGGUUGUCAUUUGCUGAUAAAAUUGCCCGUUAUCACGUCUGUAUGCCAGCGCUUCCGGCCGACCUUGGGCCGUGGCCAGCCGGUGGCAUGAAACAAAGCUCAUUUUGCGUCGUUUCUAUUUACGUCGCGGUUUUCAGGAACGUAACCCCGACGUAAACCGAGGACUUACUGUAAUGUCAAACUAAGUCCCUGCCAUGCUUUUGAAAAGCCUUUUCCUUACACAUCAGGGACAUACUUGGGGUUUUUAGUAGCUUGCUCUUUAGGCUAUGAGAUUCUAAGUUUGGAAUGACUAAUGUCUUACUUUAUGUAAUUAAGUAACACAUUAAACACUAGAGACAUAGAUACUGCUGUUUUCCAUUAUUUUAAUGCAUUACACAGAAUGAGGUGGCUAGAAACCAAAAGGCGCCAUAUUGGUUUCAACUGUGUUCUUUAUUCUUUAAUUACUUUUUAAAAUUAUUUUAGUACUUAAAAUUUUGCCAUGCUAUGGAAGAUAUUACACACACAGAGAGAUUUUAAAGAAUCAGAACACAAAGUCUACUGAUAGUAGGUAUUAUUAUUGUUGUCAUUCCAAAAAAGUACAUAAUCCAGUCAAUGACUUCACAUUAAAACCUAUUUGUAAAUGCCAACGCAAGUUAAAUUCAAAUUUUCGUUAAUUAUAAGCUAAACUUUAAAGAAACCAAAUUGUAAAAAUAAAAAAAAAUUCAGAAACAAAUAUGGCGUAUUUUGGUUCCUAUCGAUUCCUUAAAUUCAUCAUUUUGUUAUUUUUUAAAUAUUAAAAUAUAGACAUUAUUGUUUGGUUUACACUUUUCAGUCUGACGAAAAAUAGAAUAACGGGCGUCAGCUUGAAAUAUUUUUGUUAUUACAUUUUACUCAUAUACUAUAGGACUUCGCAUUGAGUUUUUAAAAUUGUGUUGUUUUUUUUAGAUGGUUUUAUUUAGAAGUAUUUAAAAUGUAACUUACCUGGCCAACUAAAGAACAAGAUCGAUGCCCACCUUUAUGUUUAUUUUUCAUAUACCAUUAUCUUUAUAACUAUUAUUUCUACAACUAAUUGUUACUUUUAUUACUACUCUUACUUAUAUAAAUGUAUACAAUACCAUUAUAUUCAUUCAUCUUCUGCCGACUUAAUUCAUGCAGCAUGCCAAUGCUGUAACUACAUGCAUUUAAAGCAACUUGCAUUUAAAGAUAAGGAAAGGUGAAUCAUCGGGGAUAUAACACAAACAAGCAGAUACAUCUUUAAGAAUAAAUGUGGUGUAAUCGGAUUUUAUCACACUUUGUAAAUGUUUGUUUUCCUCGUACUUUUGUGAAUACACUCUAGGCAAAUGAAGGGUGCCUUAGUUCCGUUAUAUGGUGUGCAAUGUGUGGCCAAUGGAGUCACAUUUCAUAACUCAAUGGAAUACAUUAAGCUGAAAGUGAUUAUCAGCAAGAAAUAUUUAUCUUAUUUGGUCAUUUACAUUCAGUAUUAAAAUAUUUAUUUUUAAGAAUGACUAUGUUGUAUAGAUAUUAUCAACAGUAAAUCUAUCAACAACUCUGACAAUCUAUUAUGUGCUUUACGACAUUAAAAAAAGAACACAUUUCAUGAGAUCGCUGAUCGUCUGAAACCAAGAUGGCGUCUUGUGGAGCUGAAAGUGUCCGUGCGCGCGCUCUCUACACAGCAGGUCGGCCAUCUGGCGGCGGCACUCACCGGGUGGCCCUUGCCGCCGGUCCACUGGCCCACGCCCUUGGCCACGCCCGCCAUGUUGCGGCCGGCCGCCACCAGGGCCUCCUGCACCUCGUCCAGGCUGGGGCGUACCGUGACGCUCGGCACGGCCAGCGCCGCGCCCAGCAGGAACACCGGCCGCGCGUCCUUCAAGCCUGCGCCCAGCGGUAGCCCCAGACAUCACGGGGCCCUGGGGCGUUUACUUUUACUUUCUGUUGUGGGCCCCUAGGCUCUCUCCCGAAAGGUUUGAAAUUUAACUUAUUUCAAAACAUAUUUUUAAGCAGAUCUGGGGUUCAUUUUCAACUACCUUAGAUUGAUUUUUAUAUAUUCUUUUCUCAAAAUAAUUUUUUUUUGUUAGUUUUAUAUGUUUUGGGUUAUCAUUUGCGUAAUUAUAGAGACAACCAAAUAUUCGUAAUGUUAUGAAUUGAAGAACACUUUAAAUUAUGUAUGUUAAAAACGAUUUAAUUUUUUCUACUCAUUACUAUCCAGAUUUUUAAAAGAACAACAGAAAAUAAAAAUUGAAAAUAAAAAUAGGCUAGCGUGUUUCCCUGGGUGAUUGCCCGUCUUGCCCAGUCGUGAAGCUGCACCUGCCUGUGCCAACGUUCCACCUUGCCUUCGUCUUUUUUCACUGACUCACUCACGCAUUGCCAGUACACCACAACUUAGAAUAAACUGUGCACCAGUGAUAUUGGUUGCUUUUCUUAUUCUGGGAAUGCCUCCAUUAUCUACUCACUUUAUAACAAUAGAUCAAUUGAAAUAAAAUGAUGUAGGUAAUAAAUUAAUGAGACCAUAUUAAUUUUACAUAAAUGUAGCAAUCAUGGGUUUAACAUUUUUGCAUAAAGAACUGUAAACUGUAGCUAAUGUAAACAAUGACACAUCCAUUGGCAGAUACAGCAAUUUUUUCGUUAGAGAAGGGGCGGAGGAAUAUGAUUUUCUGAUAAGAACAAACAGAAAAAUAAAUAGAAACUGAACAUGUGUAUUAAAAUAAACUUAUUUUACUAUUGACUCUUAACACAUUGACCCGUGGGCGUACAGUAGUAGCCCUAAGCGACUUAGCUUCUCACCCCACAGUCAAAUAUUGUUUGUCUUGACGCCGCCGUCAGUGCUCCCUCUGAGAGCACAGGCCGUUAUGUGUCCUCAACACCUGAUAAGUGCCGCGCCCCGAACGCGCCCGCGCGCGCAACGUAGUGCAGUGCCCCGAACGGCGUGACGUCAGUCACGGCCUCCUACGUGUGCAAAGCGCCCGGCCGGGUGUGGCACUGCGCAAGGGUACUGUUUUUCAUGCAUUCGAGAAUAUAAACAGAAACUAAUAAAUCUAAAACCAUCAAUAAUCAAUGUUAAUGUAAUAAUCAGUUUAUAAAGGGUUAUAAUUCACAACGCUGGCCGAAGUCAUCUUCCCGCGCUCCGCAGUUUUCCCGCGGAAUUUCCCCCCUCCCUGGCCCCGGCGGCCAGGGAGGUUAGGCAGUCGCCAUCCAGCACUCGCCCGGGCUGGCAGCCCACGCACGGGGAGCCUUCAACUUUCGCGCCAACACUCUGUAACUGCAAUAGGUAAUUAUAGUCCAAUCGUUUUUAUAUCAGCUCCCCGGUCGGCCCAAACCGGCCGUUAGCGAUCUCGCGCGGUCUAUUAAUAAAGUGUGUAGUCCAUGCACGGACUUUCUAUUUCCUACGUAAUUAAUUAAGUGACUCCUAGUGGCACCUGCGCCUCACGCUAUUACGUCCCACCUCGGGACAUAGUUCUUUGCCCACGCAGGGCGGCCCUGCGCCAAACGCGACCACGAACAUUCGGACGAGUCAUCAACUGGGACUUGCCACGGCCACGUGUACGAUAUCGUUCAAGAUUCCCACGUGUCCGUACCCAGCUUAACGUGGCCCUCGCCACCACGCGGACUAGCCGCCUGUGCAUAUCCUCCAGUGCGGGACGUACCACAGUGAUUUAGUGUAAUGUGUUUCCAUAGUAAAUUCGCGGGACCUACCGCCCUUAUAGUGUAAUGUGUUUUCAUAAGUAAAUUCGCGGGACCUACCGCCCUUAUAGUGUAUUGUGUUUUCUUAAGUAAUUGGCGGGACCUAUCACUCACGCACCUCGCGUUACGUCCGCGGACUUCCGCAUAAACCAGGACAGGUUCAUCGUGCGCGGAGCUUAGGUCGACGAUGAAGCGGCCAGUUACGUGAUCGUGCGACAUGUAGAGUGUGCUACGCAAUAAAACGACUACAAGUA